rnacentral:rRNA from 1 species
GACAGAGGCCCCGAGCGUUAUCCGGAUUUAUUGGGCGUAAAGAGUUCAACGGUGGUUCGACAAGUUCCUGGUUAAAUCUUCACGCCUAACGUGGAGGCCGCUGGGAAAACUGUCGAACUUGAGAUCGGGAGAGGCACGUGGAACUGCCGGUGUAGUAGUAAAAUGCGUUCAUAUCGGCAGGAAAACCAAAGGCGAAGGCAGCGUGCUAGAACGAUUCUGACACUUUAAGAACGAAAGCGUGGGUAGCGAAUGGG